rnacentral:rRNA from 1 species
GAUGAACGCUGGCGGCGUGCCUAAUACAUGCAAGUCGAGCGAAUGGAUUAAGAGCUUGCUCUUAUGAAGUUAGCGGCGGACGGGUGAGUAACACGUGGGUAACCUGCCCAUAAGACUGGGAUAACUCCGGGAAACCGGGGCUAAUACCGGAUAAUAUUUUGAACUGCAUGGUUCAAAAUUGAAAGGCGGCUUCGGCGGUCACUUAUGGAUGGACCCGCGUCGCAUUAGCUAGUUGGUGAGGUAACGGCUCACCAAGGCAACGAUGCGUAGCCGACCUGAGAGGGUGAUCGGCCACACUGGGACUGAGACACGGCCCAGACUCCUACGGGAGGCAGCAGUAGGGAAUCUUCCGCAAUGGACGAAAGUCUGACGGAGCAACGCCGCGUGAGUGAUGAAGGCUUUCGGGUCGUAAAACUCUGUUGUUAGGGAAGAACAAGUGCUAGUUGAAUAAGCUGGCACCUUGACGGUACCUAACCAGAAAGCCACGACUAACUACGUGCCAGCAGCCGCUGUAA